CCUAUUCCUAAUAUUUUCUCUAUUGUGCGCAGGGCCUAAUACAUACUGACAUUUUAUUACGUAUUUAUACAUAUAUCGAUAUGCGUUCAGAAAACUACUCGGAAUAAAAGUUUGAUUGACCAAUCAGAAUAAAAGAUUUAAGAAUUUGAUUGACCAAUCAGAACAAAAGAUAUAGGAAUUUGAUUGACCAAUCAGAACAUAAGAUUUUUUUAUCCUGAUUGGUCAAUCAAACGCUGCUCUACUCCGAGUAGAUUUUUGAACGCAACCCAAGAAGCACGCUCGCUAUUGGUUAGAAUUGAUGAAUCGUAACGCGCAUGACAAACAUAUGUUCUUCCGUUUCGCGCCUAAACUUCUUGAUGGAUGAAGAAAUCUGGGAGAGUCCGUUUGUGUUAGUUUUCCGAUCGGUGCCAACUCAAAUUGUAGAAAAAGGAGUUUGUAUCAAUCUUUGACUAAUAUAAGAUGGAAUUAAACGCGAAAGUGAAGAUGCUUUCUCUCGGAAAUAAUAAUUCUUCCCCUUUAAAAAUGCCAGCCAAGGAAGUUGCGCGAGGAAAGAUGUAUGUCAUCAAGCGUAAUGGACGUAAGGAGGAUGUUCACUUUGAUAAAAUCACUUCAAGAAUUGCCAAGCAGUGUUAUAAUUUAGAUAUGAAUUAUGUAGAUCCAUCUGCUGUCGCGAUUCAAGUAAUACGUGGUUUAUAUUCUGGAGUAACUACGGUCAUAUUAGAUAAUCUGGCAGCUGAAACUGCAGCUACCAUGGCAACUAAUCAUCCUGAUUAUGCUAUAUUGGCUGCAAGGAUUGAUGUGUCUAAUUUACAUAAGGAGACUAAGAAGAGUUUUAGUGAGGUCAUGCAUGACUUAUACCAUGCCAAGGAUUCUGUCACAAAACAGAAUACACAUAUAAUCAGUGAACGAUAUUACAACAUUAUUAGGAAUAAUGCAGAAAGAAUAGAUUCUUCUAUAAUAUAUGAUCGAGAUUUCAAUUAUAAUUAUAUUGGUUUUAAGACACUUGAGAGAAGUUACCUGUUGAAAAUCAAUGGUAAAAUAGUAGAGAGACCCCAACAUAUGUUGAUGAGAGUAGCUAUCGGUAUUCAUGAGAAUGACAUUGACAAAGCUAUAGAAACAUACAACUAUUUGUCCGAAAGAUAUUUUACACAUGCUUCACCAACGCUAUUUAAUGCUUGUACUAAUAAUCAACAAAUGUCCAGCUGUUUUCUUUUAACACUCGACGACGAUAGCAUAAAAGGUAUUUAUGGGACACUGAAGAAAUGUGCGCUCAUUAGCAAAUAUGCUGGUGGAAUAGGGCUCAAUGUACAUUGCAUUCGUACAAAAAAUGCAGAAGACAAUAUUGAAACAACCAAUGGCUUGGUUUCUGUCUUAAAAUUGUACAAUGACAUGGCUAUUUAUGUUGAUCAAGGUGGAAAUAAGAGACCAGGAGCAUUUGCUAUUUAUUUAGAGCCAUGGCAUGCCGAUAUCUUUGAUUUUCUAGAGCUUAGGAGGAACAUUGGGGAUGGAAAUAUGCGAGCUAGAGACUUGUUUUAUGGUCUAUGGAUACCAGAUCUUUUUAUGGAACGUGUAUAUAAUGACGAAAUGUGGAGCUUGAUGUGUCCAUACGAAUCUCCUGGCUUGGCUGAUGUUUGGGGUGAUGAAUUUAAAGACUUGUAUAUUAGAUAUGAAAAAGAAGGUCGCUAUAAAAAACAAGUAGAAGCCAGAACUGUGUGGGUCGCCAUUCUCAGGUCGCAAGUAGAAACUGGAACUCCUUAUAUGCUUUACAAGGAUCACUGUAAUCGCAAAUCUAAUCAUCAACACAUUGGUACAAUCAAGUGCAGCAACUUGUGCACUGAAGUUAUUCAAUACUCUGGCCCUGGAGAAGUUGCCGUGUGUAAUCUGGCAUCUAUUGCAGUCAAUAUGUUUGUCAAUACAAAUAACAAGACUUUCGAUUUCGAUAAACUUAAAACAGUUGCAAAAAUCGUUACUCGUAAUUUGGAUAAAGUUAUCGAUGUCAAUUUUUAUCCCAUUGUGGAGACGAAAACAUCUAAUCAAAGACAUAGACCUAUCGGUAUUGGAAUACAAGGUUUAGCGGAUGCCUUCUUGUUAAUGCGGUAUCCAUUUGAAAGCAAAGAGGCAAAAGAACUUAACAUAAAGAUCUUUGAAACUCUUUAUUAUGGUGCUUUGGAAGCGAGUUGCGAGUUAGCUGCGGAAAAAGGUGUUUACGAAACGUAUGAAGGUAGUCCAGUUAGCAAAGGGAUCCUCCAGUAUGAUAUGUGGAACGUUAAGCCGACAAAUUUAUGGGAUUGGAAUAAAUUGAAGGAGAAAAUCGCAAAGCAUGGAGUAAGAAAUUCACUUUUGAUUGCACCUAUGCCAACGGCGUCGACGGCACAAAUCUUAGGGAAUAACGAAUCUAUCGAACCGUAUACGAGUAAUAUCUAUGUAAGACGCGUAUUGUCGGGAGAAUACGUUAUCGUCAAUCCUCAUUUAUUACGAGACCUAACCGCCAGAAAAUUAUGGGACAAGGACAUGCAAAAUGAAAUACUUGCAAGCUUUGGAUCUAUUCAAAACAUUGAAUGUAUUCCUGAUGAUCUGAAAGCACUCUACAAGACUGUAUGGGAGAUACCGCAAAAAGUAAUUCUCGAAAUGGCGGCCGAUCGUGGAGCUUUUAUCGAUCAGUCGCAAUCUCUGAAUGUUCACAUAGGGGACCCGACAACUGAGAAACUCACAUCAAUGCAUUUCUUUGGUUGGAGAAACGGUCUAAAGACUGGCAUGUACUAUCUGCGAACAAAGCCAGCUGCAAAUCCUAUACAAUUUACAGUGGACAAAUCUAAAUUACGAAAUAAUGAUUCCAUAUCUAACGCAUCCACUGUCACUAAUACCCCCAUUCAGUCCCCCAACAAAGAUGACGCUAAUGAUGAUAAUGUUGAAAGACGAAAUCAAUUAAGUCAAGAAGCGAGUAAAAACUUAGAAACGAUGCUUGUUUGUUCGCGUAAGAAUGGAGACGCUUGCAUGUCGUGCAGUUCGUGAACGUUUAUUACCUUUUAUCGAGCACUCUCAUAUCAGAGAUAUGUAAAAUAUUUUCUACUUUUGUAAAUUAUAUAAGCAUGUUUUUUUUAUACAUAUUAAACAUUCUAAAUUUAAUUAUAUUGUUAAUAAGAUGUUCUUUGAUAAAUAUCGGCGCGCAAAUCAAUAAAUUCAAAUUUAAAUUGGUUUAAUGUUGUUUACAGGAGUUUGCAUGAAUUUGAAUUACAUUAAUUUUUUCUAUGCACACGCACAUCUAUUUUUCCAGAAUAUCUAGAACAAAUAUAAAAGUUUGUCUUGUAGGAUAAACAAUAUUUUCAAGUAUGUAUUUGAGGAACUAAUUUAUUUUUUUGGAGUAUAAAAAAAGAGCCACAGUACAUAUAGGUACAUUGAAAUCGAGGAGAACACGACGAAAAAAAAUUUUACUUUGGUGGCAAGAUUUUAUAAUUUUUAUAUAAAUUGAUGUUAAAAAUUUUUAUUUUUGUCGAGCGAGUGCUCGAAGUAAUUUGACACGUACCAUCUCGCUCCGAAUGACAAUCGUCCGAACAAUGCGUCUAAUGUCACUAGCUAGGAACACGUGGCAUCACUGCGAUCGCCGUGGGGUUUACGGAGACGACGCAGAACUAUAUUUAUUUUGGUUUGGAAAUUAGUCCGCAAGAGACCCGUGCGUGCAUCGUUCGGCCGUGCGUUUCGCACACCUCAAUUCGGGUGAUUGAAUUUCCAAGUACUUGCUUAUCGGAGAUCAAGAACUGAAAAACAUGACCCGCGGAAAUCAACGUGAACUAGCACGAGCCAAGAACUUGAAAAAAACCGUAAAGAAGGCAGCGUCUGAACAAGACAGUAACAAAGGUCUUUCCUUGGAGCAACGUAAAGCACGUGACGCGGAACGAAUGAGAGAGAAACAACUUAAGAAACAACAGGAACCAGAUAAGUCUAAGCAGGCGGCGAGGUAAUUCAGGGGAGAAGGUGUAUAAAUUUUUACGAUAAAAACGAUUCUCACACACGCAAUGGUUAUAUUAAAAAGAUUCACGGAUAUAAGAGACACAAAGGUUAAUGCUAACCAAAAAUGCAUAAAGGAAUCGUCAUGUUUUUGAUGUUAGAGAAUUUUUCCAUUGUCGGCCGUAUACAACCCUAUCGGUUGUAUGACAUACUGCAGGACCUAGCCUCGAUUAUCUUGUUAUUUAUACAUUGCUCACAAAAACAGUUAUAUAGCCGGUGUGUAUAAAACUCGACGUUACCUACAGCUAAAUUCAGUCAAAGAAAAUGCGCGUUUGACUGAUUUUUCUAGGUAUAAGGAUAUUAAUUAAAUAAUACGACGUUUGUAGUACUAAUUUCCUCAAUCUGUAAAUUCAAAUUUUCGCAUACUUAUUUAAUAUGUUAUCUAAUUAAAUGUGUAAGAAGCGAGCGACUACUAGAUACGUAUAUGCUUGCCAUCGUUCUCUUUCGCUCGUAAUAAACUGUUCAAAGUUUAA